AAAAGUUUAGUUAAGAAAUAACAUUAACUUGUCAAGUUAAAAUCAUUAAUUAUUUAAUAACUUUUA
rnacentral:tRNA from 1 species